AGAGUUUGAUCCUGGCUCAGAUUGAACGCUGGCGGCGUGCCUAACACAUGCAAGUCGAGCGGUAACAGGUGUAGCAAUACAUGCUGACGAGCGGCGAACGGGUGAGUAAUGCUUUGGAAUCUUCCCAGUAGUGGGGAAUAACCAGUCGAAAGAUUGGCUAAUACCGCAUACGUCUGUAAAGGGAAAGCGGGGGCUCGUAAGACCUCGCGCUAUUGGAUGAGCCAAAGUCGGAUUAGCUAGUUGGUGGGGUAAUGGCCUACCAAGGCGACAAUCCGUAGCUGGUCUGAGAGGACGACCAGCCACACCGGAACUGAGACACGGUCCGGACUCCUACGGGAGGCAGCAGUGGGGAAUAUUGGACAAUGGGGGAAACCCUGAUCCAGCGACGCCGCGUGUGUGAAGAAGGCCUGCGGGUUGUAAAGCACUUUUAGUGGGGACAAAAAGCUACGGAUUAAUACUCUGUGGUCUUGAUUUAACCCAAAGAAAAAGCACCGGCUAACUCUGUGCCAGCAGCCGCGGUAAUACAGAGGGUGCGAGCGUUAAUCGGAAUUACUGGGCGUAAAGCGCGCGUAGACGGUUUUGUAAGUCAGAUGUGAAAUCCCUGGGCUCAACCUGGGAACUGCAUUUGAAACUGCAUGGCUAGAGUAUCGAAGAGGGAAGUGGAAUUUCCGGUGUAGCGGUGAAAUGCGUAGAUAUCGGAAGGAACACCAGUGGCGAAAGCGACUUCCUGGUCGAAUACUGACGUUCAUGUGCGAAAGCGUGGGGAGCAAACAGAUUAGAUACCCUAGUAGUCC
rnacentral:rRNA from 1 species